rnacentral:rRNA from 1 species
GAUGAACGCUGGCGGCGUGCCUAAUACAUGCAAGUCGAGCGAACAGACGAGGAGCUUGCUCCUCUGACGUUAGCGGCGGACGGGUGAGUAACACGUGGAUAACCUACCUAUAAGACUGGGAUAACUUCGGGAAACCGGAGCUAAUACCGGAUAAUAUAUUGAACCGCAUGGUUCAAUAGUGAAAGACUGUUUUGCUGUCACUUAUAGAUGGAUCCGCGCCGCAUUAGCUAGUUGGUAAGGUAACGGCUUACCAAGGCAACGAUGCGUAGCCGACCUGAGAGGGUGAUCGGCCACACUGGAACUGAGACACGGUCCAGACUCCUACGGGAGGCAGCAGUAGGGAAUCUUCCGCAAUGGGCGAAAGCUUGACGGAGCAACGCCGCGUGAGUGAUGAAGGUCUUCGGAUCGUAAAACUCUGUUAUUAGGGAAGAACAAAUGUGUAAGUAACUAUGCACGUCUUGACGGUACCUAAUCAGAAAGCCACGGCUAACUACGUG